rnacentral:tRNA from 1 species
GGGGAUUUAGCUCAGUGGUAGAGCGCUUGCCUAGCAAGCACAAAGCCCUGGGUUCGGUCCCCAGUUCCG